rnacentral:rRNA from 1 species
UGGGGGAUAUUGCACAAUGGGCGAAAGCCUGAUCCAGCGACGCCGCGUGGGGGAUGAAGGCCUUCGGGUUGUAAACUUCUUUUGCUCUGAACAAGGCAUGCUAAUGGGUGUGUUGAGUGUAGGGGUUGAUUAGCGCCGGCUAACUACGUGCCAGCAGCCGCGGUAAUACGUAGGGCGCGAGCGUUGUCCGGAAUUAUUGGGCGUAAAGGGCUUGUAGGUGGCUGGUUGCGUCUGUCGUGAAAGCUCAUGGCUUAACUGUGGGUUUGCGGUGGGUACGGGCUGGCUUGAGUGCAGUAGGGGAGGCUGGAAUUCCUGGUGUAGCGGUGGAAUGCGCAGAUAUCAGGAGGAAUACCGGUGGCGAAGGCGGGUCUCUGGGCUGUUACUGACACUGAGGAGCGAAAGCAUGGGGAGCAAACAGG